UAUAAAUAUGACAAAAUUAAAUAAUGAUGGUAAUAAUUCAUUUUUUUAGAAAACAUUACAUUUGAUGGACUUUUUGUUCUAUUCUAUUGUCCAUUUACUAAUUUUUCCCCUGUUUCAGUAUUGUUAAAAAAAAAAAAAAAAGGAACUUUUUCUUAAUUAAAAGUGAUCUUUAUUCUGAUAUGUCUCUCUGGACUAUGAGAUAGAUACCUGCCCAUGGGUGAUCCAAGAGCACAAAAGACAAAAGGUGAUACCCAAAGACUGGGAUAAGUUUCAGUUAAUGGAUGAUUAGUUCUCUACUAUCCUAUAUCUGGGUUUAUAAUAAAGAUAGGAAUUUGGGGGAAGUCCCCAAACUUUGGUUGUCAAUAUCUUUGAGGGAAGUUCCUAGGCUCUCCUACAGAUGCUGUUGUGACAUCUGUGUCUGCAACUGAGUUCUGGCUUUAAGAGUUGACUGCACCAGUCUUCAGAGGUCAGCUUCACUCCCUCGUUCCAUGUGUUUCUUACUCACUCUCAUUCAGCAAGCAUGGGCUGUAUUAGGCUAGAUAUUCAGCCAAGUACUAGAGGUCUGAGACUAAACAAUCCUUUGCCCUCAAGGAGUAGACAUCUCAGAGGAAAACGGAGAGUCAAUUACAAUAUAGCUUUCUAUUUCAGUUUUCUUUGGUCACUUUUCUCCAGGAUGGAUCCUACAUCAGCAAUCCAAAUCGAUUUGGGGGGUAUAUAACUGCAGCCACUGUGCUGAGUACUAAUGUAAGAGACACUCAAUUCAUUUCCUGGAUAAGCCAAUCAAGGAAAUAGU
rnacentral:lncRNA from 1 species